GGACAAAAACGAAAAGAAAAGGAGUAGAUGGCAAUAGUUCAAAAAAAGAAAAGAAAAAAAAGCAAUGAAGAGUACGCAAUAAAAACACCACCUCAUUAUUGUGUUUUGCGUUUUUCUUUUUUGGUAGAGACAGGAUGUUUUGUUUUAAGAUU
rnacentral:ribozyme from 14 species